AUCAAAUAAAAGUUAAAGAAAACGGUUCAUGCUUUUAUGCCUGAAUAAAAAGUUAUUUAGAGUAUCCCCAAUCAGACAGCUAUCCAACGACAAAACAUCUAUAGGAGUCAACAGACUGUCUUCAACAAUUGACAAGUGUCUAUUCAAUAAGGUGAACAUUUACAAUCCCCCCUCCCAGUCAAGAAAAAAAACCCCGAUCAAUUUAAUUGAGACUAUUAUAUCUGUUAACAACUGUAAAUGUGGAUCUAGUAGGACUUUACAGAAAAGAGCGUAAUGAUGAAAACAAAAAGAAUAAAGGUGAUAAGAUAUAAAGAAUAGAUAAUAAUGAACACAAAUCAGUAAAGAGAAUAAUGGCAUGAAAACUUAAGAAAGCGAAAAUGAAGAAAGCCACCGAGACCCUUCCUAAACUACCUAUAAAUGAUAGCUAUAACAAUACAACAAAAGAUAACGACUCUUGACUUACAUGCACCUAUCACACGAAUAUGUGGCGAUGUUUUUAGCUGUUUAUAUUCCGAUCGUCCCCCUUUUCAGUAAUUAAUCUUAACAAGGUUUCUCAAUCAGUGAAGAAAUAAAAGGUAAAUCUAGGAACGUAAAGGAAGUUCACUGGACUCGUUAAAAAACCCCGCUGACAAGUAAACACCACUAAUAUGUACAAAAUACAUGCAGAGGUUGAACUUGAGAUACUCGUUCAAAUCAAAGUUAUAAUAACGUUAAGACAGUCUACAAAACACUA
rnacentral:lncRNA from 1 species